GUCCUAGCCGUAAACGAUGAGAACUAGGUGUUCAAGGUAUCCACUCCUUGAGUGCCGCAGCUAACGCAUUAAGUUCUCCACCUGGGGACUACGGCCGCAAGGCUGAAACUCAAAGAAAUUGACGGGGGCCCGCACAAGCGGUGGAGCAUGUGGUUCAAUUCGACGCAACGCGAAGAACCUUACCUAGGUUUGACAUCCGCUGACCGCCUAUGAAAGUAGGUUUUCCCGCAAGGGACAGCGAGACAGGUGCUGCAUGGCUGUCGU
rnacentral:rRNA from 1 species